CCUACAGGUGGCUGCAGUGGGGAAUAUUGGACAAUGGGGGCAACCCUGAUCCAGCCAUGCCGCGUGUGUGAAGAAGGCCCUCGGGUUGUAAAGCACUUUCAGUGAGGAAGAACGCCUGGUGGUUAAUACCCAUCAGGAAAGACAUCACUCACAGAAGAAGCACCGGCUAACUCCGUGCCAGCAGCCGCGGUAAUACGGAGGGUGCGAGCGUUAAUCGGAAUUACUGGGCGUAAAGCGCGCGUAGGUGGCUUGAUAAGCCGGUUGUGAAAGCCCCGGGCUCAACCUGGGAACGGCAUCCGGAACUGUCAAGCUAGAGUGCAGGAGAGGAAGGUAGAAUUCCCGGUGUAGCGGUGAAAUGCGUAGAGAUCGGGAGGAAUACCAGUGGCGAAGGCGGCCUUCUGGACUGACACUGACACUGAGGUGCGAAAGCGUGGGUAGCAAACAGGAUUAGAUACCCCGGUAGUC
rnacentral:rRNA from 1 species